GUUGGAUACACCAUGCUAGGAGAUACUUCCCUCCAUGUGGGGACAUAGAGGUUGCCUCUGUCCAAGGUUGGAUACACCAUGCUAGGAGAUACUUCCCUCCAUGUGGGGACAUAGAGGUUGCCUCUGUCCAGGGUUGGAUACGCCAUGCUAGGAGAUACUUCCCUCCAUGUGGGGACAUAGAGGUUGCCUCUGUCCAAGGUUGGAUACACCAUGCUAGGAGAUACUUCCCUCCAUGUGGGGACAGAGAGGUUGGAUACACCAUGCUAGGAGAUACUUCCCUCCAUGUGGGGACAGAGAGGUUGGAUACGCCAUGCUAGGAGAUACUUCCCUCGAUGUUUGGCAAGAGAAAACGUAUCUUGUGAUGUGGACGA
ensembl:lncRNA